rnacentral:rRNA from 1 species
UGGCGACCGGCGCACGGGUGAGUAACGCGUAUCCAACCUGCCCUUUACUAUGGGACAGCCCGUCGAAAGGCGGAUUAAUACCAUAUGUUGUCAUGUUGAUGCAUAUUUUCAUGACCAAAGGCUUCGGCCGGUAAAGGAUGGGGAUGCGUCUGAUUAGCUUGCCGGCGGGGUAACGGCCCACCGGGGCGACGAUCAGUAGGGGUUCUGAGAGGAGGGUCCCCCACAUUGGAACUGAGACACGGUCCAAACUCCUACGGGAGGCAGCAG